rnacentral:lncRNA from 1 species
GACUGAGGCAAACAGAGAGAGAGAGAAACAGACAGAAAGACUUGUUCAGGUAAAGGCGAGGGACACAUUGAAUGUUUUAGCCUUCUAUUAAUCUAUUCAAAAACUAAUUAUAAAGAGAAGAAAUACAAGACAGAAACAGAAAUAAAGUUGUUAGAGACAUUGCUCUCACAAGAGAAAGAUGGAGAAUUUCUUACAUUACAUGUUAUUCCUUCUGUAAGGAAAAGAAUAUUUGAAAGCAGACCAGGGUCCCUCAUCUGCAGUGCAAGUGGGCACACACAGUCAAGACUCCAUCCAUCCUGUGCAGCGUUCUGAACCUUGGGGGACCAACUCACAAUGAAUUUUCAGCUUUGGUUGUCUCCUGCUACUUGGUUGUGACAAGUGCCUUUGCAUACUCGAGCCACCACGUAAGAAUCCUGGCUAUCAGGAGGCCAUCCUGCUGGAGAGACCAUGUGGAGAGACCACACAGAAAUGGGGGAGAUGUCUAAAGAGCCCCACUCGCAAUUCCAGCCCCAGCUGUCUAAUUCCUCUCAUUUGUAUUGCUCUCUUAUAGCUGCUGUCACAAAUUACCAAAAAAUUUGUGGUUUCAAACAAUACACACAUAUGCUCAUAUAGUUCUGGAGAGAGAAGUCUGAAAUUAGUUUUACUGGGCCUCAGUCAAUGUGUCAGCAGGGCCCUGCUCCCUCUGGAGGCUCCCUUGCCUUUUCCAGCUUCUUUUUUUUUUUUUUUUUUUUUUUUUGAGACAGUCUCACUCUGUCACCCAAGCUGGAGUGGUGCAGUGGCGUGAUCUCGGCUCACUGCUGCUUCUGCUUCCUGGGUUCAAGUGAUUCUUGUGCUUCAGCCUCCCAAGUAACUGGGAUUACAGGUGUGUGCCACUCUCACCCAGCUAAUUUUUGUAUUUUUAGUAGAGAUGGGGUUUUGCCAUGUUGCCCAGGCUGGUCUCACACUCCUGGCCCCAAAUGAUUUGCCCACCUUGGCCUCCCAAAGUGCUGGCAUUACAGGCAUGAGCCAUCAUGCCUGGCCACAUUUUCCAGCUUCUAAAACUGCAAUCCCUGGCAUGUGGUGCCUUACUCCACCUUAAAAGCCAGCAGCAUGGCAUCCUGCUCCAGGGGCCACAUUACCUCCUUCUUCAAUGUCAAAUCUCCUUCUGCCUCCCUUUUAUAGUUGUGAUUGCAUUUAGGACCCAAUUAGAUAAUCCAGGAUAAUCCCUCAUUUUAAGAGUUUUGAUUUAAUCAUACCUGCAAAGUCUCUUUUGUCUUGUAAGUUAAAUUCACAGAUUCCAGGGAUGAGGAUCUGGGUAUCUUUGGCGGCCAUUAUUCAUUCUUGGUAGGAGAUGUAAGUGAAAAUGCCCUUGAGGUGACCCUAGCCCCAGUCACCACUUGGCUGCAACCUCCUCAUGAGAGACAGAAGCCAGAACUGCCGAGCUGAGUCACCAAAUUCCUGUCCCACAUACCACGAGAGAUAAUAAAUAUUUGCUAUGUUUUAUACCUCCAAAGUUUUGGUAAAAACUCCCUGGCGAGUUUUUCUAGGCAAUAUGAAGAAAAUUGAGAUAGAACAAAUGAGCUUGACACAAACUUAAAAUUAUUUCUUCUAAAACACUGUUUUGUUCUAAAGAGUAUAUUCUUUCUAUUCUUUUGGUGCAAACAUACUCUAUUAGGAAAUUAUAUUUAAAGCACACUAUGGCUCAUGCUUUCUUAAUAGUCUGACUUGCAAAAAGGCAAAAUUAAUAAUCUCUGUCCAUUUCACAUUUUAAAAAGUAUUGCUUUGAAAUUUGCAAGUCAGGGAACUACUGUUUAUAGGAUAAAGUCUAGCUUCAUCAGCCUGCACGCAAAGCCCCCUAUAAUCCUGCUGUACCUCCUUCUGUGGCUGCUUCUCCUGCUACAACUCUCUGCACUUAUGUCUCAAUAUUUCUACGCCACUGAUUUCCUCACACAUAACAUUCUGUUUUGCUAGAGGAUGCCUCUGUGUAUUCCAUUUGUUUGCCUUUGUUUUUUCCUCAGACUACUUUCCCCCGUCUGAAAACCUCAAGUUUAAGGAAACUUAUUCCCUUCUCCACUUUGUGAAUAUCUGUAUCUUAGCAUUUAAUGUUUUUAUCGAAGUGUUCUGUUUAUACGUAUGUCUCAGCUACUAAACAGUAAGGUCAAUAAGGACACAAUUUUUAAAUCCUUAUUUUUUUUGAAAUUUGCAGAAGAUGUGGAAUAAAAUAGGUGCUCCAGAAAUGUUUGCCAAUUUAUAGAUAAGUUCUGAAAUGCAAAUAGAAAUGUAGGUCUGCUGAGUGUCCCCAUCUGGUUUAAAUUUCAGUCCAACAGUGUAAUCCCCACUUCUUGUGUGGUGAUGCUUUAACUGUUUCUAUUUUUAGGUAGACUUGUCUCUCUGACAAGUCUUUCUUUGAUGAGUCCAAUCUUCUUCCCUUAACUUCUACCACAAGGCCCCAUUCUGCCCUCUGGAGUCAUGAGAUAAAGUCUGUCUCUCUUAUGUAAUAGUGUUUCAGAUAGUUAAUGCUGGUGAGUGGGUUUCCAUUUAGUCCCCUCCUCCGCAGACUAAAUGAACUCUUCUUGUCAAUUUUUCAUUGACAGCCUUUUUAAGCCUUCCAUACCCAGUCACCAUCUGUGUUGGUCAGUGUUGUUUUAGGCUGCCAGUAUCAGAAAGCAUAACAACGAUGACUUAAACAAGAUGGCUGCUUAUUUUUCUGCGUAAACAAAUCCAGAGGUAGGCUGCCCUGGUGGUGCCAUCAAAGACCCAGGCUCCUCUCAUUAUUCUUACUAUGGGGCUUUUCUCCUUUCAUUGCUGUCACAUGGCUUCUACAUGGCCAAUCUGCCUUGAGAACAGCAUUUCUAUCCCAUCCCAGAAGAGAAAGAACAAAAAGAAUGUAUGUUCCUGUGAAAUAUGCUCUCUUGAAAGGGCUUUCUCAGAAGAAUCACAGUUUCAUGAACAUUUGAUUGAACAUAAUUGUGUCACGGAGUUGCAAGGGAUAUUGGGAAACAUCAUAUUUUAGCUGGGCACAUUAUCUUCUUGAAAAUACCGUACAUGAGAAGAGGAGAAUAAAUAUUGAUAUUGAUAGGCAACUAGUAGUGUGUCUCAAUGAGCAGAACUUUGCUGUGACUAUCUUAAAAGAAAGGCUUCUAGUUAGACAACCUGAGGUCAGGAGUUCAUGACUAGCCUGGCCAAUAUGGUGAAACUCAGCCUCUACUAAAAAUACAAAAAUUAGCCAGGCGUGGUGGUGGGUGUCUGUAAUCUCAGCUACUUGGGAGGCUGAGACAGGAGACUUGCUUGGACCCAGAAGGUGGAGGUUGCAAUGAGCCAAGACUGUGCCAUUGCACUCCAGCCUGGGCAACAGAGUGAGACUCUGUCUCAAAAAAAAAAAAAAAAAGGCUUCUAGAUUAGACGAUAUAUUAUAUUCCUGAUGAGCCCAACAAAGUAUGAACACAGCCUGUCUCUCUCUCUCUCUGUUUAUGUAAAUGUAUUAGGGUAAUUGAGGAUUGGGUGUAUUUUUUAAGGUGCCUCAUUGCUACUAUAGGUUUAUUUCAUUCUUAACAACGAACAAGAACAAUUUAUUUCCCUCCUUCUGCUAUUCAGCUAGGUCUAUACUAAAACUAUACAGUUGUAUUCUGAAAUUGAAUGAAGAAUGUUUCAUUUACUCCAAUAAAG